rnacentral:misc_RNA from 1 species
GUCCAGCACACAAACUACAAAGAGGGUACAAAAAUAAACAAAAGAAAGGGACCCCAUUUCCCAUAAAUCAGUUCAUCUGUCAUUUUUACCUAUGCAUUAUGUAUUUUUGUUGGUAAGUAGUAUUUGUAUUGAUGAUGGCAAUAAUCUUGAGGAGAUCUUCCUUACAAAUCUUUUUCUUCUGUUGUGUUUUUGGCUAUACAGCUAGAGAGGGCUUUUACUACCUUGUAUGUAAAGCUAGCAACCUUUCGAGUUAAUCCCCUUCCCUCGUUAACGAUGAUCAACUGGAACAACACUUAAGUUUCAGUGGCUUCUUGGCCAGAUGUAAACCUUGGAACCUGAAAGUAACAUGAUUUGAGAGAAGCCAUGUUGAAGGCAGAAGUGGUGGGAAGCAUAGGGAUAUUGUUCAUAGUAGUAGUAGUAGUAGUAGCAG